GGUUAAGCGACUAAGCGUACACGGUGGAUGCCCUGGCAGUCAGAGGCGAUGAAGGACGUGCUAAUCUGCGAAAAGCGCCGGCGAGGUGAUAUGAACCUUUGACCCGGCGAUGUCCGAAUGGGGAAACCCAGUGCAAUUCGUUGCACUAUCGUUAACUGAAUACAUAGGUUAACGAGGCGAACCGGGGGAACUGAAACAUCUAAGUACCCCGAGGAAAAGAAAUCAACCGAGAUUCCCCCAGUAGCGGCGAGCGAACGGGGAGCAGCCCAGAGUCUGAAUCAGCUUGUGUGUUAGUGGAACGGUCUGGAAAGUCCGGCGAUACAGGGUGAUAGCCCCGUACACGAAAGCACACAGGCUGUGAACUCGAAGAGUAGGGCGGGACACGUGGUAUCCUGUCUGAAUAUGGGGGGACCAUCCUCCAAGGCUAAAUACUCCUGACUGACCGAUAGUGAACCAGUACCGUGAGGGAAAGGCGAAAAGAACCCCGGCGAGGGGAGUGAAAAAGAACCUGAAACCGUGUACGUACAAGCAGUGGGAGCACCUUCGUGGUGUGACUGCGUACCUUUUGUAUAAUGGGUCAGCGACUUAUAUUCUGUAGCAAGGUUAACCGUAUAGGGGAGCCGAAGGGAAACCGAGUCUUAACUGGGCGUUAAGUUGCAGGGUAUAGACCCGAAACCCGGUGAUCUAGCCAUGGGCAGGUUGAAGGUUGGGUAACACUAACUGGAGGACCGAACCGACUAAUGUUGAAAAAUUAGCGGAUGACUUGUGGCUGGGGGUGAAAGGCCAAUCAAACCGGGAGAUAGCUGGUUCUCCCCGAAAGCUAUUUAGGUAGCGCCUCGUGAACUCAUCUUCGGGGGUAGAGCACUGUUUCGGCUAGGGGGCCAUCCCGGCUUACCAACCCGAUGCAAACUACGAAUACCGAAGAAUGUUAUCACGGGAGACACACGGCGGGUGCUAACGUCCGUCGUGAAGAGGGAAACAACCCAGACCGCCAGCUAAGGUCCCAAAGUCAUGGUUAAGUGGGAAACGAUGUGGGAAGGCACAGACAGCCAGGAUGUUGGCUUAGAAGCAGCCAUCAUUUAAAGAAAGCGUAAUAGCUCACUGGUCGAGUCGGCCUGCGCGGAAGAUGUAACGGGGCUAAACCAUGCACCGAAGCUGCGGCAGCGACGCUUAGGCGUUGUUGGGUAGGGGAGCGUUCUGUAAGCCGUUGAAGGUGGCCUGUGAGGGUUGCUGGAGGUAUCAGAAGUGCGAAUGCUGACAUAAGUAACGAUAAAGCGGGUGAAAAGCCCGCUCGCCGGAAGACCAAGGGUUCCUGUCCAACGUUAAUCGGGGCAGGGUGAGUCGACCCCUAAGGCGAGGCCGAAAGGCGUAGUCGAUGGGAAACAGGUUAAUAUUCCUGUACUUGGUGUUACUGCGAAGGGGGGACGGAGAAGGCUAUGUUAGCCGGGCGACGGUUGUCCCGGUUUAAGCAUGUAGGCGGAGGUUCCAGGUAAAUCCGGUACCUUUUAACGCUGAGGUGUGAUGACGAGGCACUACGGUGCUGAAGUAACAAAUGCCCUGCUUCCAGGAAAAGCCUCUAAGCAUCAGGUAACACGAAAUCGUACCCCAAACCGACACAGGUGGUCAGGUAGAGAAUACCAAGGCGCUUGAGAGAACUCGGGUGAAGGAACUAGGCAAAAUGGUGCCGUAACUUCGGGAGAAGGCACGCUGAUAUGUAGGUGAAGCCCCUGCGGGUGGAGCUGAAAUCAGUCGAAGAUACCAGCUGGCUGCAACUGUUUAUUAAAAACACAGCACUGUGCAAACACGAAAGUGGACGUAUACGGUGUGACGCCUGCCCGGUGCCGGAAGGUUAAUUGAUGGGGUUAGCGGCAACGCGAAGCUCUUGAUCGAAGCCCCGGUAAACGGCGGCCGUAACUAUAACGGUCCUAAGGUAGCGAAAUUCCUUGUCGGGUAAGUUCCGACCUGCACGAAUGGCGUAAUGAUGGCCAGGCUGUCUCCACCCGAGACUCAGUGAAAUUGAACUCGCUGUGAAGAUGCAGUGUACCCGCGGCAAGACGGAAAGACCCCGUGAACCUUUACUAUAGCUUGACACUGAACACUGGUCCUUGAUGUGUAGGAUAGGUGGGAGGCUUUGAAGCGUGGACGCCAGUCUGCGUGGAGCCAUCCUUGAAAUACCACCCUUUAAUGGCUGGUGUUCUAACGUAGACCCGUAAUCCGGGUUGCGGACAGUGUCUGGUGGGUAGUUUGACUGGGGCGGUCUCCUCCCAAAGAGUAACGGAGGAGCACGAAGGUUAGCUAAUCCUGGUCGGACAUCAGGAGGUUAGUGCAAUGGCAUAAGCUAGCUUGACUGCGAGAGUGACGGCUCGAGCAGGUGCGAAAGCAGGUCAUAGUGAUCCGGUGGUUCUGAAUGGAAGGGCCAUCGCUCAACGGAUAAAAGGUACUCCGGGGAUAACAGGCUGAUACCGCCCAAGAGUUCAUAUCGACGGCGGUGUUUGGCACCUCGAUGUCGGCUCAUCACAUCCUGGGGCUGAAGUAGGUCCCAAGGGUAUGGCUGUUCGCCAUUUAAAGUGGUACGCGAGCUGGGUUUAGAACGUCGUGAGACAGUUCGGUCCCUAUCUGCCGUGGGCGCUGGAGAAUUGAGGGGGGCUGCUCCUAGUACGAGAGGACCGGAGUGGACGCAUCACUGGUGUUCGGGUUGUCAUGCCAAUGGCACUGCCCGGUAGCUAAAUGCGGAAAAGAUAAGUGCUGAAAGCAUCUAAGCACGAAACUUGCCCCGAGAUGAGUUCUCCCUGAGACUUUAAGUCUCCUGAAGGAACGUUAAAGACUAUGACGUUGAUAGGUCGGGUGUGUAAGCGCAGCGAUGCGUUGAGCUAACCGAUACUAAUGAACCGUGAGGCUUAACCUU
rnacentral:rRNA from 1 species